GCUUCCCUGCCUGGUUCGCCAAGGUCAUAAAUUCCUUGAACCAAUGCUAUAUGCAAGGUUGUGGAAAUUGAAGCGCGGGCGUGAGCGUCACACUGUCUGAUGAACCCGAAGCGCUUUUGACUGCAACCGUCUUGAACCUCCGGUUCAGGAUGCCGGCCUAGCGGCCAAGGUGGGGACCCU
rnacentral:other from 1 species